UACGAGAGGUCCAAACGUUAUUCGGAAUCACUGGGCUUACAGAGUUCGUAGGCGGUCCGUCACGUCCGCUGUGAAAACCCAGGGCUCAACCCUGGGCUUGCAGUGGAUACGGGCAGACUAGAGGUAGGUAGGGGAGAAUGGAAUUCCCGGUGUAGCGGUGAAAUGCGCAGAUAUCGGGAGGAACACCGGUGGCGAAGGCGGAUCUCUGGGCCGAUACUGACGCUGAGGAGCGAAAGCGUGGGGAGCGAACAGG
rnacentral:rRNA from 1 species